rnacentral:rRNA from 1 species
UAGGGAAUCUUCCGCAAUGGACGCAAGUCUGACGGAGCAACGCCGCGUGAGUGAAGAAGGAUUUCGGUUCGUAAAACUCUGUUGUUAGAGAAGAACAGCGCAUAGAGUAACUGUUAUGCGUGUGACGGUAUCUAACCAGAAAGCCACGGCUAACUACGUGCCAGCAGCCGCGGUAAUACGUAGGUGGCAAGCGUUGUCCGGAUUUAUUGGGCGUAAAGCGAGCGCAGGCGGUCAAUUAAGUCUGAUGUGAAAGCCCCCGGCUCAACCGGGGAGGGUCAUUGGAAACUGGUUGACUUGAGUGCAGAAGAGGAGAGUGGAGUUCCAUGUGUAGCGGUGAAAUGCGUAGAUAUAUGGGAGAACACCAGUGGCGAAGGCGACUCUCUGGUCUGUAACUGACGCUGAGGCUCGAAAGCGUGGGUAGCAAACAGG